ACUCCUACGGGAGGCAGCAGUAGGGAAUAUUGCGCAAUGGGGGAAACCCUGACGCAGCAACGCCGCGUGGAGGAUGACACUUUUCGGAGCGUAAACUCCUUUUCUUAGGGAAGAAUUCUGACGGUACCUAAGGAAUAAGCACCGGCUAACUCCGUGCCAGCAGCCGCGGUAAUACGGAGGGUGCAAGCGUUACUCGGAAUCACUGGGCGUAAAGGGCGCGUAGGCGGAUUAUCAAGUCUCUUGUGAAAUCUAAUGGCUUAACCAUUAAACUGCUUGGGAAACUGAUAGUCUAGAGUGAGGGAGAGGCAGAUGGAAUUGGUGGUGUAGGGGUAAAAUCCGUAGAUAUCACCAAGAAUACCCAUUGCGAAGGCGAUCUGCUGGAACUCAACUGACGCUAAGGCGCGAAAGCGUGGGGAGCAAACAGGAUUAGAUACCCUGGUAGUCCACGCCCUAAACGAUGUACACUAGUUGUUGGGGUGCUAGUCAUCUCAGUAAUGCAGCUAACGCAUUAAGUGUACCGCCUGGGGAGUACGGUCGCAAGAUUAAAACUCAAAGGAAUAGACGGGGACCCGCACAAGCGGUGGAGCAUGUGGUUUAAUUCGAAGAUACGCGAAGAACCUUACCUGGGCUUGAUAUCCUAAGAACCUUUUAGAGAUAAGAGGGUGCUAGCUUGCUAGAACUUAGAGACAGGUGCUGCACGGCUGUCGUCAGCUCGUGUCGUGAGAUGUUGGGUUAAGUCCCGCAACGAGCGCAACCCACGUAUUUAGUUGCUAACGGUUCGGCCGAGCACUCUAAAUAGACUGCCUUCGUAAGGAGGAGGAAGGUGUGGACGAUGUCAAGUCAUCAUGGCCCUUAUGCCCAGGGCGACACACGUGCUACAAUGGCAUAUACAAUGAGACGCAAUACCGCGAGGUGGAGCAAAUCUAUAAAAUAUGUCCCAGUUCGGAUUGUUCUCUGCAACUCGAGAGCAUGAAGCCGGAAUCGCUAGUAAUCGUAGAUCAGCCAUGCUACGGUGAAUACGUUCCCGGGUCUUGUACUCACCGCCCGUCACACCAUGGGAGUUGAUUUCACUCGAAGCCGGAAUACUAAACUAGUUACCGUCCACAGUGGAAUCAGCGACUGGGGUGAAGUCGUAACAAGGUAACCGUAGGAGAACCUGCGGUUGGAUCACCUCCUUUCUA
rnacentral:rRNA from 1 species